rnacentral:rRNA from 1 species
AGAAUGAACGUUGGCGGCGUGGAUUAGGCAUGCAAGUCGAGCGAGAAACUCACUUCGGUGAGUGGAAAGCGGCGCAAGGGAGAGUAACGCGUAGAUACCUGCCCUAGGGUUCGGGAUAGCCACGGGAAACUGUGGGUAAUACCGGAUAAUGUCUCCGGACUAAAGAUUUAUUGCCUUGGGAUGGGUCUGCGUCCUAUUAGCUUGUUGGUGGGGUAAUGGCCUACCAAGGCCGAGAUGGGUAGCGGGCGUGAGAGCGUGGCCCGCCUCACUGGGACUGAGACACUGCCCAGACACCUACGGGUGGCUGCAGUCGAGAAUCUUCCGCAAUGGGCGAAAGCCUGACGGAGCGACGCCGCGUGCGGGAUGAAGGCCUUCGGGAUGUAAACCGCUGUCAGUGGGGAGCAAAUCCAGUUUACUGGUUGAGCUAUCCGCAGAGGAAGCGCAGGCUAAGUUCGUGCCAGCAGCCGCGGUAACACGAACUGCGCGAACGUUAUUCGGAAUCAUUGGGCUUAAAGAGUUCGUAGGCGGCUUAAUAAGUCGGGUGUGAAAUCCCUCGGCUCAACCGAGGAACUGCGCCCGAUACUGUUAAGCUUGAGGGAGACAGAGGUGAGCGGAACUGAUGGUGGAGCGGUGAAAUGCGUUGAUAUCAUCAGGAACACCGGUGGCGAAAGCGGCUCACUGGGUCUCUUCUGACGCUGAGGAACGAAAGCUAGGGGAGCGAACGGGAUUAGAUACCCCGGUAGUCCUAGCCGUAAACGAUGAGCACUAGGUCGAGGGGGCUUCCACACCUUCUCGGCCGUAGCGAAAGUGUUAAGUGCUCCGCCUGGGGAGUAUGGUCGCAAGGCUG